GCUAGCGUAGCUUAAUUAAAGCAUAGCGCUGAAAACGUUAAGAUGGGCCCUAGAAAGCUCCGCAAGCA
rnacentral:tRNA from 1 species